GCCGUGCCACUGGCCCGGCCGAAAAGAAACGUUGCGGACGAAGCGAACUACAUCGGGACGCUUUGGCCGCCGAGCGAAAAUAUAUCAUUGAGCUCGACCUCAGAUCAGGUAGGAGUACCCGCUGAACUUAAGCAUAUCAAUAAGCGGAGGAAAAGAAACCAACAGGGAUUGCCCCAGUAGCGGCGAGUGAAGCGGCAAGAGCUCAGAUUUGAAAUCGUGUUUCGGCACGAGUUGUAGAGUGUAGGCGGGAGUCUCUGUGGAGCGCGGUGUCCAAGUCCCUUGGAACAGGGUGCCUGAGAGGGUGAGAGCCCCGUAGGGUGCUGCGCGAAGCUUUUGAGGCCCUGCUGACGAGUCGAGUUGUUUGGGAAUGCAGCUCCAAGCGGGUGGUAAAUUCCAUCUAAGGCUAAAUAUUGGCGAGAGACCGAUAGCGAACAAGUACUGUGAAGGAAAGAUGAAAAGCACUUUGAAAAGAGAGUGAAACAGCACGUGAAAUUGUUGAAAGGGAAGGGUAUUGGGCUCGACAUGGGGGGUGCGCACCGCUGUCUCUUGUAGGCGGCGCUCUGGGCGCCCUCUGGGCCAGCAUCGGUUCCUGCUGCGGGAGAAGGGGCUCCGGAAAGUGGCUCUUCGGAGUGUU
rnacentral:rRNA from 1 species